GCGGUGGAGCAUGUGGUUUAAUUCGACGCAACGCGAAGAACCUUACCAGGGCUUGACAUCCCCUGACCGCGUAUGAAAGUACGUUUUCACCUUCGGGUGACAGGGAGACAGGUGGUGCAUGGUUGUCGUCAGCUCGUGUCGUGAGAUGUUGGGUUAAGUCCCGCAACGAGCGCAACCCCUACGUUUAGUUGCUAACGCGUGAAGGCGAGCACUCUAGACGAACUGCCGUUGACAAAACGGAGGAAGGUGGGGAUGACGUCAAAUCAUCAUGCCCCUUAUGUUCUGGGCUACACACGUGCUACAAUGGCCGGUACAGACGGACGCAAAGCCGCGAGGUGGAGCAAAUCCUAAAAAGCCGGUCUCAGUUCGGAUUGCAGGCUGCAAUUCGCCUGCAUGAAGUCGGAAUCGCUAGUAAUCGCAGGUCAGCAUACUGCGGUGAAUACGUUCCCGGGCCUU
rnacentral:rRNA from 1 species